rnacentral:lncRNA from 1 species
CGCCAAGGGGGCGACAAAGCCUCAAGUGAGCAUCGCAGGGAAGAGGGUGGGGGAGACCGAGAAGAGACAGCCGCCGCCGCCUCGGCAGUUCUCCCUUCCACUUCCGAGGGAGCGCACGCCACAACCGCCUCCUCAACUCCCCCGUAGCCCCGUCCGUCCCGCAGGCACCUCCGAGGGGGGGGGGAGGGGAGGGAAGACGGAGUCCAGUGCCCGCUGAGACCCCUUUCUCCCCACCGCCACCCCACCAAGUCCUCCGCGUUCUUCACUAAACCAACGCAGCGGAGCCCGGGCAGAAACUCGACGGAGAGGGCUGCGGUCCCUUCACCCUCAGAGGCAGCCUGACCCGGCGGGGAGAGAGCUCUCCCGGGGAUCCCGUCGAGGAGCAACAUCUGGGGAGGGCAGGAGAAGAGGAAGGCGGGGAUGGGGCUGGCAUGAAGGAGACCCCUGGCUCAUUGCUCUGCGGCUUCUACGGUUCUGAUAUUGUAGACUACAGAGGGUGAGGCUUGCCAAGCCUUGGCCCUGUUUAAAAGAGCGAAGACAUCUAUGCACAUUUUCUGCUUUUUGCUGCCCUGAGGCACCUGGGAAUAAGCAUCCUUUUAUGGGGGGGGGGGGGAAGGAUUAUCGGAUGCUUUCAGAGUGAACACAAGGAAGUUAUCGCGCGGGGAAGCGCCUGGCCGCUGCCUGUUAAAAGUUGUUUUUAAAAAUACGAAUAAAAUAAGGAAAGAACUAAGAAAGGUCGUCGGGGCGACCGCCGCCUGCUCAAGUGGGGCCCCGAAGCCCACACCUGUCCCGGGGCGGAGGCGCCCGCCCUCCCAGCCGUGGGGCCAGGACUCCGCCCCCCAAGUGGGGGAGGGAACGGCCAGCCGCCCUACAACACCCGUACCCCCCCCCCGCCCGCGCCGGGCCCUUGACGUGGAGCAGCAUGACUCCUUCGGCGGGCAAGAGGGCCGCCCGUCCUUCCCGCCAGAGCUGCUCCAGACCACUCUGCACGUGCUCACGUGCACCCGCCCCACCGCCGUCUAGAAAAACUCUCCCUCUCCGAGGGGACGGCACUCUGCCCCUGCUCAGAGGCACUCCCGCCUUGGCUCCGCAUGGGCCCGCCCGCACGAACGGCCCUCCCCUCCCCUGGAAAGCCUUUGGGGCUGACGCUUGUGGGGCGGGGAGUUGCAGGGUGCGGGGUGCGCCUGUCUCCGGCUUUUGUGCUUUGACGGGGCCAAGUUCUCACGUCCCAGGGACCCUCACACACGUGUCAUCUUUAAUGGCGUUAUGCAGCGUCAAGUUAGACACCCUCCUCUGGAGCUCAGGCGCAAAACACCGAAGGAGAGCAGCACACGGUACCGAGCCGAGGGGACGCAAAAUAAUGAUGAUGAUGAUAAUGAUUAUUUAUUGAUUUUAUAUACCGCCCUAUACCCAGAGGUCUCAGGGCGGUUCACAGAAAAGAUCAACAUACAAACCACAAUAUAUAUAAUCAAAAUAAAAACAACCCAAUAAUAUCCUCCCAAAAUCAGAAUGAAUGAAUGAAGUUUUUGUAAUGUAAUUUUCAGUGAGCCUAUUGAGAAGAUCCGUAAAAAAGCGGCUGUACCAAAAGGAAUUAUUGUGAAAAUAAUACAGUAUAUAUUUAGGGGACACUGGGCUACUCCGCAAGCGGGUUGUGAGGACUAUCCGGAGCAGGCAUGGGCCCUCCCAGGCAGAGCACAGUUCACAGACUCUGGAGUGCCUGUUUGGGGGCCGAGAGGAAUGUGGGGGGCAGCUGUAAGCCUCCCCUGGUCUUGCGCGGGGGGCGCCGCCGGCAUCCCAGCAACGGUGACGGGGAUGGGCGCCGCUGGGCGGCCACGGGCCACGCCCAGGCAGCCCCCUGGAGCCCCCUUGCCAGGGACCCGCAGAGUUGAGCGACUGGGGAGGGUGAGAGCCUGCUCCGCCGAACCCCCGAGGAUGGAGUGAGGCGCGUAGAGGAACGGAGAGAGAAGGCAGCUGUCCUUGGGGGCGUCGGCGAGGAAAGACGAAUGUAAGAACAUCAGAAAAGCCAACAGUGGCCAACCAGAUACCCUUAGGAAACCAGCAAGCAGGAUCCGAGCCCAGGAGCGAGGGCAGAGAUGAGCCUUCGUGGCUGGUGGCCCUCGAUAGGCCCGCUCCUCCUCCUCCAUGAAUUGAUACGAUCUUUUUGCCAAGCCGUCCAAGCUGGUGCCCCUCGCCUGCCUCCUGUGGCAGCGAGUUCCAUAGUUCAACUCUUGCGCAGCGUGAAGAAGGACUUUCUUUCUGUCCCGAAUCUUCCAACAUUCGGCUCCCGUUCGAGUUUCGUGAGAGAGGCAGGAAAAAACUUUCUCCAGGCUGUGCGUAAUAUUAUAAACUUUCCCCAUGUCUCAUUUUAUUUGCCUUUUCUCUAAACCAAACAGUCUCAAACACGCAACUUUCCCCCAUAGGGCCGUCGCUCCAGCGCCUUGAUCAUUUUGUGGCCCUUUCCUGAACAUUUACCAGCUCUACAAACAAUAUCCUGCGGUCGCCCCAUAGAGUUGAAUAAUAGCAUUAUGAUAUGGGCAGCUUUAUUGUCAAUAAUGAUUCUUAGCGCGGAGGUUGCCUUUUCCACAGCUGCCGCGCGCAGAAGGCGCAUCUUUAACCGUAUCUCCACUAGGACCGCAACGUCGCGAUCCUGGCCAGUCUCUGCCAGUUCAGACUCCAUAAACAUAUGUGACAUUAAGACUUUUCCAAUCCAGAAGAUUGGAAGACGGGACUUGUGAACAUCAAAGCAGCAGAAAUAUGAGAGAAUUGGACCCUUCUGAGCUCGAAGCAUGAGUACCCUCAACAAAAAUUUAAAAAAUUCGGCAAAAUAUUUGGACUUUAUGAUAUGUGUUGGCAUAAUUUGGAUUAAUGAUUGAGACAUGAUUGGAUUGUUAAAUGGAAAUUUAAUAAAAAUUAUUAUUAAAAAAAAGACUUUUCGCCCCCGUGUAUUGUAGACACUUGUCUACAAUGAAUUGCCUUUGUCAUUUUGCCGCCCAUUCGCUCCGUUUGGAGAGGUCUUUCUGUAGAGAUUCAUAAUCCCCCUUUGGUUACAACGAACCCUGAACAGUUUAGUGCCUCCAGCAAACGUGGCCACUUCGCCGCUCAUCUAUAACUCUAGGGUCGUUUAGAAAGCACAGGUCCCGAUCCUUGAGGGACUCCACUUUCUACAUCUCUCCAUUGGCGGCCGGAUCCAUUUCUCCCUGCUUCCAGAAACUUAGCCAACUCCUGAUCCGGAAGAGGCCCUCUCUUGCUCUUAGAAUCAUGGAAUUGAUUCAACCCCCUGCGACGCGGGAACCGCAGCGAAAGCAGCUCCUCUUAUUCCCUCACUGCUAAGCUUACACGGGAGUAGUUGGUGAGGUACUUUGUCGAAAGGCUCUUGAAAGCCAGCGGACGCUUUGAGAGCGGGGCCCUCAGGGCCACCGGGGGCGCGCCUGUUAUUCGUUUGCAGAGUCAGGGAGGUAGCCGUGUUGGUCUGACGCUGUACCUCUACAAACGAAAUAAUUUUUUUUAAAAAAUAAUCCAGUAGCACCUUAGAGACCAACUAAGUUUGUUCUAGGUAUAAGCUUUCGU